CUCUUGACAUCCAGCGAACUUUCCAGAGAUGGAUUGGUGCCUUCGGGAACGCUGAGACAGGUGCUGCAUGGCUGUCGUCAGCUCGUGUUGUGAAAUGUUGGGUUAAGUCCGCAACGAGCGCAACCCUUAUCCUUUGUUGCCAGCGAUUCGGUCGGGAACUCAAAGGAGACUGCCGGUGAUAAACCGGAGGAAGGUGGGGAUGACGUCAAGUCAUCAUGGCCCUUACGAGUAGGGCUACACACGUGCUACAAUGGCGCAUACAAAGAGAAGCGACCUCGCGAGAGCAAGCGGACCUCAUAAAGUGCGUCGUAGUCCGGAUCGGAGUCUGCAACUCGACUCCGUGAAGUCGGAAUCGCUAGUAAUCGUGGAUCAGAAUGCCACGGUGAAUACGUUCCCGGGCCUUGUACACACCGCCCGUCACACCAUGGGAGUGGGUUGCAAAAGAAGUAGGUAGCUUAACCUCCGGGAGGGCGCUUACCACUUUGUGAUUCAUGACUGGGGUGAAGUCGUAACAAGGUAAGCGUACGUGU
rnacentral:rRNA from 1 species